rnacentral:lncRNA from 1 species
CUGUCUUAAAUCUGAGCGGCCGCCGGCUUCAGCCGUGAGCACCGCCGGCACGAGCGUCGGCCGCAGGCACGGCCGAGGACGCCGCUGGCCGUGGCCCGACCCUCCCAUGCGAGGGACUCUCCUUUGUCGCAGUCUCGCCGGUGGAGGAGUCGACAAAGAGAGGAAAAGGGAGGGGGAGAAAUGAAGAAGAAAGAGAAGGAGGGGCCUCGGGUGCGAUUUCUUUCCCAGGCAGCGAGGCAUCGGCGGUGGAUGAGGAGGGCGAGAGGGGAGGGGAGGGACAGCCGGUGCGCCGGUGCGGGAAGCUUCUGGAGAAACCGAGAAGAAAGGAGAAGAAAAAAAAAAGAAGAGGUAGAGGGAAGGGUUAACGGAUUGGGUUCGGGUUAACGGGCUAAGUCUGAACCCGAACCAAUCCAAUUCGAUUUAAAGAAAUUAAAUGGAUUUGGGUUAGCUCGGGUUGGGUCUAAUUUAAAUCCAACUGGGUUCAAUCAGAUUGGGAUUUAAAUUGAUUAAGCCAAAUAAAAUUUAAUUGGGUUGAGUCCAAAUUUAAUUGAGACCCAAUUAAAUUGUUAAUUGGACUGAGCCCUCUUUUGGGCUCGCAA